rnacentral:rRNA from 1 species
UCCAGGUAAAUCCGGUACCUUUUUAACGCUGAGGUGUGAUGACGAGGCACUACGGUGCUGAAGUAACAAAUGCCCUGCUUCCAGGAAAAGCCUCUAAGCAUCAGGUAACAUCAAAUCGUACCCCAAACCGACACAGGUGGUCAGGUAGAGAAUACCAAGGCGCUUGAGAGAACUCGGGUGAAGGAACUAGGCAAAAUGGUGCCGUAACUUCGGGAGAAGGCACGCUGAUAUGUAGGUGAAGUGAUUUACUCAUGGAGCUGAAAUCAGUCGAAGAUACCAGCUGGCUGCAACUGUUUAUUAAAAACACAGCACUGUGCAAACACGAAAGUGGACGUAUACGGUGUGACGCCUGCCCGGUGCCGGAAGGUUAAUUGAUGGGGUUAUCCGUAAGGAGAAGCUCUUGAUCGAAGCCCCGGUAAACGGCGGCCGUAACUAUAACGGUCCUAAGGUAGCGAAAUUCCUUGUCGGGUAAGUUCCGACCUGCACGAAUGGCGUAAUGAUGGCCAGGCUGUCUCCACCCGAGACUCAGUGAAAUUGAACUCGCUGUGAAGAUGCAGUGUACCCGCGGCAAGACGGAAAGACCCCGUGAACCUUUACUAUAGCUUGACACUGAACACUGGUCCUUGAUGUGUAGGAUAGGUGGGAGGCUUUGAAGUGUGGACGCCAGUCUGCAUGGAGCCAUCCUUGAAAUACCACCCUUUAAUGGCUGGUGUUCUAACGUGGACCCGUAAUCCGGGUUGCGGACAGUGUCUGGUGGGUAGUUUGACUGGGGCGGUCUCCUCCUAAAGAGUAACGGAGGAGCACGAAGGUUAGCUAAUCCUGGUCGGACAUCAGGAGGUUAGUGCAAAGGCAUAAGCUAGCUUGACUGCGAGAGUGACGGCUCGAGCAGGUGCGAAAGCAGGUCUUAGUGAUCCGGUGGUUCUGAAUGGAAGGGCCAUCGCUCAACGGAUAAAAGGUACUCCGGGGAUAACAGGCUGAUACCGCCCAAGAGUUCAUAUCGACGGCGGUGUUUGGCACCUCGAUGUCGGCUCAUCACAUCCUGGGGCUGAAGUAGGUCCCAAGGGUAUGGCUGUUCGCCAUUUAAAGUGGUACGCGAGCUGGGUUUAGAACGUCGUGAGACAGUUCGGUCCCUAUCUGCCGUGGGCGCUGGAGAAUUGAGGGGGGCUGCUCCUAGUACGAGAGGACCGGAGUGGACGCAUCACUGGUGUUCGGGUUGUCAUGCCAAUGGCAUUGCCCGGUAGCUAAAUGCGGAAGAGAUAAGUGCUGAAAGCAUCUAAGCACGAAACUUGCCCCG